rnacentral:lncRNA from 1 species
CCCCCCCCCCCCCCCAGCUUUUAUUUAGUGCAAUUGUGGUACAUAACAACUUUUGUCGGCAUCCUCCACGCGACCAACACAAAGUAGACUCAACCUUCUCUUACCUAACACACAGAGUGAGUGUAAGAAUUUUGGCACCCACGUGCUCUUUCAUCAAAUAUACCUAAAGUCAUAAUUUCAAUAAGGAAACUAUUGAUGACUUGGUUUCAACGUGGAUUCUAAAUAUUUGUAUUCCUUUUCAAAUCUAAAUUAUAUGUUAAGUCUUUAUAUUCAAGUUAACGUAGAUUCCAAAUAUUUGUAUUCCUUUUGGAAUUUAAAUUCUAUGUUAAGUCUCUAUAUUCUUUCCUAGAAUAUGUAGAAUAAUCAAUCUUUAAAAACGUAUUAAAUUAUAAGAUUUGACACUUACAACAAUUUCACUUCAAAACGACUUGUUUCUUCUAUGAACUAAGUCGCCUAGAUUCCACCAUUGUUGAGCAUUGGCAAGUUCUUCAAGUGCAUAACAUGGUCACGCAUGCGUCGCAUGCACAAAAUCUGAGGUAUUUACUUAUUUGCUUUCCUUCUAGAUGCUAAAAUUUGCAGAUUCAUCAAUAUUAAUCGAUCAUUAAAGGUAUAUUUGGUGUGCUAAAAUAUACACGCACACAAAACAUCGCUCUCAAUCACAGCUCCGUUACGACACAAGAGACAAGUUCUUCCGGUACAUAACACGUAUAUGCACACACAAAAACUUAGGUAACUAUCUAUUUCUUAUCAUUUAUGCAAACAUGUGCAUCUAUGACAAUAAUAAUUCACUGUUAAUACUGACUAUACAGUGAAAACGUCCUCUUCCCACUCCUUUUAAAGCUUUCCAUUCAUAUAACUUCUUUUUCCAUUACUCACUCUGAAUCCCGACCAUCUUCCAUCGCCUAGAUUCGACCAUUAUCAAGCACCAACAAGUUCUUCAAGUGUGUAAGCAUACACAAAAACUAAUGUGCAGAUACAACUGUAAAAAUCAAUGGCUAAAUGUACUUUUGGUAUUUGGUACUCAACACUGAUUAGAAGCUACCAUAAAACAUGCUAUCUUCCAUUAAAUAACUCACUUUUCCAAUUCUCAAUCUCAAUC